rnacentral:rRNA from 1 species
UGGGGGAUAUUGCACAAUGGGGGAAACCCUGAUGCAGCAACGCCGCGUGAGGGAAGACGGUUUUCGGAUUGUAAACCUUUGUCUUUGGUGAAGAAGAAAGUGACGGUAGCCAAGGAGGAAGCCACGGCUAACUACGUGCCAGCAGCCGCGGUAAUACGUAGGUGGCAAGCGUUGUCCGGAAUUACUGGGUGUAAAGGGAGCGCAGGCGGGAGCGCAAGUUGGAUGUGAAAUACCGCAGCUUAACUGCGGAGCUGCAUCCAAAACUGUGUUUCUUGAGUGAAGUAGAGGUAGGCGGAAUUCCGAGUGUAGCGGUGAAAUGCGUAGAUAUUCGGAGGAACACCGGUGGCGAAGGCGGCCUACUGGGCUUUUACUGACGCUGAGGCUCGAAAGUGUGGGGAGCAAACAGG